UGGGGAAUAUUGCACAAUGGGCGCAAGCCUGAUGCAGCCAUGCCGCGUGUAUGAAGAAGGCCUUCGGGUUGUAAAGUACUUUCGGUCGGGAGGAAGGUGGUAAGGUUAAUAACCUUAUCAAUUGACGUUACCGACAGAAGAAGCACCGGCUAACUCCGUGCCAGCAGCCGCGGUAAUACGGAGGGUGCAAGCGUUAAUCGGAAUUACUGGGCGUAAAGCGCACGCAGGCGGUUGAUUGAGUCAGAUGUGAAAUCCCCGGGCUUAACCCGGGAAUUGCAUCUGAUACUGGUCAGCUAGAGUCUUGUAGAGGGGGGUAGAAUUCCAUGUGUAGCGGUGAAAUGCGUAGAGAUGUGGAGGAAUACCGGUGGCGAAGGCGGCCCCCUGGACAAAGACUGACGCUCAGGUGCGAAAGCGUGGGGAGCAAACAGG
rnacentral:rRNA from 1 species